UGCUACUAAGAAGAAAAUGAACCCUAUCUCAGCUGACACCAGAAUAUAGGGCUGAAGCUGAAGAAGGCAGGGUAGGGGUGAAAGAGCUGUUGAUAUUCCCCCUCCUGUUGAUGAAAUCAGCAGACACAGUAGCAUCUCCAGUCUCCCAGAUGUUCUUCUAACGUGGUUCAGAGCUCAGUUACUCUCUGCAUUUUGUAUUUAUGACUAUAGCCAUAAUUUGUACCAAACAUAGAAGAAGAAGUAGUCAUUAGACAGAAAGGACUUGAAGGGACACCACUGCCUAUUGCACCAUGCUAGCAUGUAGAGGAAUUAUAGAGGAAUGAAGGCAGGUUAAUUAACAUUGAUAAUAUACAGCUGUGGGCUGGCUUCAGGGGCAGUGGGUUGGCUUAUGUGGAUAAUGUGUAGCUGUGGCUUGUUCCUGCUAAGUAGUUAAAUAGCUCUAAGGGGUAUGGAGGAGGAGUACUGUGUGAAGAGGAGGACUGAAAGAAGAGAAAGAUCUAGAUGAAGAGAGACCUGGAGAAAACAGAAGGAGGAGAGAGAGUGCACCCCAGAUGUAGGAGAGACAAGGAGAGGCCCUGGGAGAAGGGGGCCUAGAUGAGAAGAGGCUGGCUGGACAAAGAGCCUGGAGAAGGAAGACUCUGGAUGCAGAAGUAAGAAGCAGGGUGGACUGGCCUGUAAAGGAUGAAGAAACAGCAUUGACAAUAGAUGAACUUUUGAAAUCUUGUGGGGGAUUGGUGGCUGUGCUGGGACAAGGUGCGGAAACUACUUAUUGAAGCCUUGUUGUAGCUGGCUAGUUUGGAUAGUGCUGUGACACUAUCAUAGAAGGCUUCAUCCCAAUUCCCUUUCAGCUAUCACCUAAGUUUUCUCCUGAAAAUGAUGAGAUUGUGUUGCUCGCUGCUGCUUCAGGCACUGGAUUUCCAUACCCUGCUCUGACAACUGGAACAUUUUUCCAAAGUCUAGCCUUUGUGGAGAGUCUAAACUUAUGCAUUCUUGGCCCAAAAUGUCUGGUUUAAUAACAUUUCCCCUUGCUGGUAGUCACCUUCUUGAUGUGGUUAUGAAGAGACUCAUGUCCCUCUUUCUGAUUCCGUAGAUUCAACAUACCAAGUCUACCUGUGUGUGAUGCCUCCUUUUUCUGUAUCUGAAAAUUUUUUUCAUGUGUGUGAAGGACAAGCCAUAUAUAGGAUGGACAAGAGGAAGUGUCACCAGAGAUUUGUACAGCACUCUUAAUGUUUGUGCUUGUCUCCAAGAAAUACCACUCUUGAGACAUAUGAGAACUGUAGGUGUGGUGGUUUUGGUUUCAGACAAACAGUACAGGCCAAGAAUCAUUAAUAAAAUCAAGUCAUGAGGGUGCUUAAUUUUUUACUCCUUUAAUGAGAACAGCAGACUGAAGCAAUGGAGAGUGAUGGCAGGAGGUGAGCUAUGUCUGCACACUGUGAGCAGAGCAUUCUGUGUCUGGUAAACUAGCUGCUACAGAUGGGGUGGAGGGCAUGAAGCGGGUGCUUCAGUUUGUGGAAAAAAACCCCCACAUUAUCUUGCUAUGUGGGGACUAGGAUUUCAGAAACAAGCAAAAAAUCUUCUUUACAGUAGAGUGCAGAUGAGGAGUUUGAGGUGGGGCAGGAGGACACAGGUGGCAAAGUGGACAAAUUCCCCUCUAUGCUUCAUGAACAUUUGUCCCUGCUCAGCAAGUUGGGCAACUAUGUGAUGCUGGCAGGAUGGGUAGGACCCGUGAGGUCCAAGAGAAGGAGGGGAAGCCUCAUAUCUGUCUAUCUCAUGUGAUGGGCACAACACUGAGAAGACACUUAGAGGUAUCAAGCCCACACCUCUCUCUCUGCACCUCCCAGAUUACCCAUGGCAGGCUGCUGUGAUGAGGUUCUUGAGGAACAUGAUGGGAAAAUGGAUCUUCAGACCUCUGCCAGGGAGCUGUGAGAAGUGUGGUGGGAAGUGGUGGUCUAGGGAAAGGCUAUGUAUUUUCAUACACAUUGUUGAGGUGGAGGCACAGGUUCUUAAAUGGGCUGUUGCCUUUACAGUUGGUGCCUUCACCAACCCCGUCCGUGGGGAUGAGGGAUACAGAAUGUGAAAUCAUUUGUACCUUGUUGUGUUCUGUACUGUGUUGCCUCCUUCUUUUGCUUCAGGUAGGGGAUGAAGAAGAAAUUGUUUGAGAUGAGGAAGUCCUCUUGGAACUCCUCUCUCUUCUGCUUUCCUCUUGAACACGGGAGAAGAAUUUUUGAGGAGACAGUCUUUUAUACUAAAACAUGCCGUCUGUGUGUGUGCUGGAAAAUUAUUUUAAGCAAGCCAUAGGGAACAUGGAGCAGAUAUCUGAUUUCUGAUCUGUGAGCUAGGACAUAGAGGCAACCCCACAAUCCAAACCAUGCUGUGUACCUGCUCAGGGUUUCAGAUGGGAACCCCAUCCACAUGCAUCCUUGGCUUCAUUUCUUAAAACAGAGCAUGGCCAAAAAGAAGGAAAGAAAGAGGCAGGCCGUGAUCACAAAACAUGGCCAACCAGAAGUAAACCAUCAAGGUGAAGUUUGUUUGCAAAAAUAAUAGGAUUUAAUGGAGAAGGAAAAUGUGCUUUUCUACGCCUUGCAUAAUUCUCAUUCUGCCUCUCCCAGGCAGCAUGAAGGGCAGGAGUGUUUGUUUUGGGGAGUGAGGCUGCUGAGCAAACCCUGCUGGGGUCAGCUCACACUGUCACAUGUUGUUCAAUGCUCUUUGGAACCAAACAACGUCAGAGAGAGGGAAGGAAAGGGGGAACAGCUCCAUCCUCCUCGCCUCCCUCCCCCAGCUCCAGCUAGACAGCCACAGAAAUGCUUGUCCCAGGUCCAGGCUUCCCCCAUGGAAAGGUAAAUACAACCCGGGGUGUUAACAGCCCCCUUGCAGACUGGUUGGCACUGAGGAAAGUGAUCCUGGGCAAGUUGCCCCACUUCUUCCUUCUCCAUGAGCACCAGGAGAAGACACUGGCAAACAGUCACCAGUGUGCAGAGGAAGCAGUAAGGCUGUUACUGAUGGGAAGCUGUUAUCUUGGGAUGUCUGUCUGAGUUAAUUUUUGACCUGGUAGCAAAGGAGUGGGUUGGGGAUUUUGUAUGGGACCUGUCCUUGUGAAGAAAUGGCACUUCAUCACCCAGAAAGUGUAACUUCAUCUCUUUGGCUCACUGUUCCUUCAGGGGGCUUGUUGGUUUGUUCUUUGCCUUUUAGAACAUUGCCACUUGAGGUCUGUUUUUUGGGAUGUGAGGCGCAGAAUGCAAAUGUCUUUGGACCUGAAGGAGAGUUCCUGCUUUUAAUUACUACUGAUGGGCAAUUAAUCUGCCAGAACAGAAGUGGAGAAUUAAUGUAGUGAAAAUCUCCUCUGGUCUACUAGUAAAUCAACAAGUGGUAGCAAGCAGUGGUGUUGAGUUCCUCUGACCCAAAGUUAGGUGCAAGGAAAAAAUAAGAGAGAAGCACUGAUGUUUACAGACACAGUGAAGAUGACAAUGAGCAGAAGGUACAUGAUGUUUGUUCAUUCCCCUUGGUGGAGCACUUAAUAGAGGUUGCUCAUGCUAGUCACUGAAGUGCCUGUCCAAAAUUAGUCAUGGGACCAUCUCCAACCUGGGUCCCUGCCAUGGAAGAGAGCUGUGACGGGAAGAAGUUGCUGAUCAGCAAAUUUUUGGAAAGUCCGUAUCCUGAUCACCUUUUUCCAAACUGAUCCGUUUUUCAGGUGGUCAAGGAGGAGGUUUUCCGAGGUCCUGCGUUAGCCUUGGAAAGUGUACAAGAAUCAAGAGAUCUCUUUUCUCCCAUAGCUUGAGCUGUGUGAUCAAAAAGUUUCAUUCCAGCUGCCUUCAUGCCAAUCCUCCAAGGGAAAAAACAGUGGUGUGCUAGGAGGGAAGUUCUCAAUAGACAUGGGAUGAGGAACUUCUUGGGAAGAACUCUCAGUGGUCAGUGCAUGAGAGAGGCCAGGAAACUGGUAUGGGAGGAGCAGGUCCCUGUAGGGCCAUUGACACAGCAGAGCUCUGUGAGCCAUCCCAUGUGAUGCUGACCCCAGGCUCCACUCAGUGGAUGUGGGGAGUGCAGAGGUGAGAUAGAGACUCAAGGGACUCCAUAGAAGUUAGGCUCAUUGUAGCAUUUUAGCCCAAAGCUACCUGCCCACGUAUGGCAGUGAGGGUGGCUGCUGGGGUGAAACAAAAGACCUUGAUGGACACGAGGUGCAGCAUCUAGAGACAGAAGUGGAGACAACCCUAUUUGGAGUAACACUUCUAUGACUUACACACUAGAGAUGCGCUUUGUUGGAACAAGAGGGAAAUCUGAGGCUCAGCCUGUUCUGAAUUUAUCCAAACUUAAUACCAGAGACUUUGUUUCAGGAGAAACUUGAGGGGUGGAGAACAGAUCAUUCACGUCUGUAGUAGUAAGUUGAACAGGACCAGGUUAUGAGCAGUGAGAUGGGCUUGCUAAAUGGUUAGCGUGUUGUUUUGAUGUUAUCAGGGUCUUUGGUGUAGCUUAGGCUACCGGGUGGGUCAGGUAGCCAUCUCCUGAACAAACCUUGGGCAUAGUUCAGGGGUUAGCAUAGACCAGGAACAGUUCUUGGUACACAUCAUGAGCGCAACAGUCUUAUUUUGGAGACCAAGAAAUCUGGUGAGUGGCCUUCUAUUUCAUCAGAAAACUGUUCCAGGACUCACUGGUUCCUGACAUAAAUGUAAGACUAUUAAAGGUGGCUUCAGACAUGGGUUACUGCUAUAUCCUCAGGCCUUUUCUGUCUAAGAAGCCACAGAAGUAGGUGGAACAUGUGGCCCUUUUGUAUCAUUUAACACUUACAGUGUAUAGUCCUGUUGUAGAUGUUGAUUCAGAAAAAAACUGAUCUAGCCUCAUUUAACAAAUCCAAAUCUCCAGAAUUUUUUUCCUUGCACAAAAAAAGCUUAUAAGAACCUUGUGGGGGAUAUUUCCAAAAGAACAGGGAAGAUCUAGACAGGAUCAUUUUCACGCUUUUAAUGGGGAAAUUGAGAUAGGAAGAAGGAAAUAAAAUGCUGCAGAGUCUCUAAAUUAAUUGUGCAUCUGUAACUGUUGGAGGAAACAAUAAAAAUAGCCUUGGUUUUGAACUUUUAGCGCUAUGGAGCUCAUGACUGCAUCUGUACUACAGGACAUUUAAUUUACUUUUAUGGCUGCUACUGAACACAGAUCUGAUGUUUUCAAAAACAGUCUAUAUAUCACCCCACAUCUUGUUUCUAGGUAGAGAUAGUUCAUACAUAUAUAUAUGUGUGUAUAAAGUUUAUUGAUCACCAUUUUGUCAUCCAAUCACUUGCUAUCAAGAGCUGCUUGUACCGUUCUUCACACUCAGUUUUCAGUCUUGAUUACUUCAGUACCAUCAGCAACACUGGUUGCUGUUUUAGUUAUUCUGUUUUCUAAAUCACUUGGGAAUAUGUGAGACUGCACAGACUUACUUGUUUAAAAAGAUUGUAUGACUCAAUGAGCCUUGAGUCAAAACCACAGAGAAAAUUACUGUUAGUAACAAUAAAAGAUCACAAUUACUGGUUUAAGACAUUUAUUUCUCUAUGUGAAUAAAAUAAUAAUACAUAUAUUGCUUCACAUCCUCCAAGAGCUGUAUGAACCUGAACGGAUUGAAGAUCCAAACAUCUCCGUGAGGUAGGCUGGAAUAGGUGGCUGAGGUGCCAAAGUGGCUUGUGUAUUUGAAGUGAAAAAGGGAGUGACUUCAGCGAGGAAAAACCUGGGUCUCCAGAAGCAGUGUGCUAAAGGGACAUGCCCUCUGGAAGCUUCUUGUAAUGCUUAUUUGUAGGAGGGUUUAGACAGAGGAGAAAUCCAUCAAAAUCACCUACUCAAGG